AGUCGACGGCAGCCGGGGGCAACCCUGGUGGCGAGUGGCGAACGGGUGAGUAAUAUAUCGGAACGUGCCCUGGAGUGGGGGAUAACGUAGCGAGGGUUACGCUAAUACCGCAUACGAUCUACGGAUGAAAGUGGGGGACCGCAAGGCCUCAUGCUCGUGGAGCGGCCGAUAUCUGAUUAGCUAGUUGGUAGGGUAAAGGCCUACCAAGGCAUCGAUCAGUAGCUGGUCUGAGAGGACGACCAGCCACACUGGGACUGAGACACGGCCCAGACUCCUACGGGAGGCAGCAGUGGGGAAUUUUGGACAAUGGGGGCAACCCUGAUCCAGCAAUGCCGCGUGAGUGAAGAAGGCCUUCGGGUUGUAAAGCUCUUUUGUCCGGGAAGAAACGGUUGUCUCUAAUACAGAUGGCUAAUGACGGUACCGGAAGAAUAAGCACCGGCUAACUACGUGCCAGCAGCCGCGGUAAUACGUAGGGUGCGAGCGUUAAUCGGAAUUACUGGGCGUAAAGCGUGCGCAGGCGGUUGUGCAAGACAGAUGUGAAAUCCCCGGGCUUAACCUGGGAAUUGCAUUUGUGACU
rnacentral:rRNA from 1 species